GAAUAAUUAAAAGAUUUAUGACGUCAAAAAGUGUACUUGGAGACUACACUGUACAGUGACUUUGGCCGGACUACAAAUAAAAUACGAAAGGAAAAUUGAGCGCCAACAAAUAUUCUGUACAAUUCACCCAAGGGAGCAAGUGGUACUAGUUGUGGAUAAAGAGAGAAUGAUCGAGCUGACAAAUUUAGAGGCGGGCAUCGGUGACGAGGAAGAGUUGUCUGUGUUUGUCGGACCAGCUGAAACUUUGCAAACGAUGACCGUCCAUAAGUGAAACGCAGCCGUGAGUACAUGUGUGUGAUACGCUGUUACCUUAAUCCCUUUAAACUUAUGAUGAUUUUAAGAUGAUGAAUUUAAUAAGCCAAAAAUGCUGUUGGUUGCGAUUAUGUGACUGCUUGAUAAACAACGAAUAUGAAUUUGCUGACGAUGUACAAAAACAAAACAAUCAAUAAUUUUUUAGAACCACACAAUAGCAGAUGAUUGCAAGAUGGCGAAGGUGAUGAGUAGGACAACUUAUAUAUUAGGCAAGUUUAUAUAAUCGCUUGAUAUACGACGAUGAUGAAUUUCCUACAAUUUUACAACAACAUUUUUUCUCUUUUUUCUUAGCAAACUUUAUAUAUUCGUAUUAAAUUCGCCAAUAUG